UACGAAGGGGGCUAGCGUUGUUCGGAAUUACUGGGCGUAAAGCGUAUGCAGGCGGACUUUUAAGUCGGGGGUGAAAUCCCGAGGCUCAACCUCGGAACUGCCUUCGAUACUGGAAGUCUUGAGUCCGGGAGAGGUGAGUGGAACUCCGAGUGUAGAGGUGAAAUUCGUAGAUAUCCGGAAGAACACCAGUGGCGAAGGCGGCUCACUGGCCCGGUACUGACGCUGAGAUACGAAAGCGUGGGGAGCAAACAGG
rnacentral:rRNA from 1 species